GACGAACGCUGGCGGCGUGCUUAACACAUGCAAGUCGAACGGAGUGGCGAACGGGUGAGUAACACGUGGGUGAUCUGCCUUGCACUUCGGGAUAAGCUUGGGAAACUGGGUCUAAUACCGGAUAGUGCAAGAUGAGCUCGCGGCCUAUCAGCUUGGUGGUGGGGUAAUGGCCUACGAAGGCGUCGACGGGGAGCCGGCCUGGGAGGGUGGACGGCCAUAUGGGGAAUGGGAUACGGGCCAGACGCCUACGGGAGGCAGCAGUGGGGAAUAUUGCACAAUGGGCGGAAGCCUGAUGCAGGGACGCCGCGUGGGGGAUGAAGGCCUUCGGGUUGUAAACUCCUUUCGACAGGGACGCGGUACCUGUAUAAGAAGCACCGGCUAACUACGUGCCAGCAGCCGCGGUAAUUC
rnacentral:rRNA from 1 species